CUGGACUCCCUAAAUGCUGUUUUGCGAGGGCCAGGAAGUGACAGGAUGACCCCUCUUGCUUUGCCUGUUAACUUUCAUGCAUUCCAUGAAAACUGCCUUGCUGUGAUCUCUUGCAGAAGUUUCCUCCCCGGAGACAACGCGAGGGAAAAGCCAUGGUAUCCCCAGAACUUGGCUCAGCCAGGAUGCACAAAUAAGAGUUGUUGUAUAAAUGAUUUGACUCAGGGGUGACCCAUGCAAGAGUGUUUCACAGGUAAGCACCUGUCUAUAUGUCUCAGUGUGACCUCUGACCUGACCAGACCGUUGCUUCCAGUUCUAAAUCCUGGGAGACGCUGAUUUCUUCCAGGUGAGCUGUUGCCUUUCCCACUAACUACCAACCAAGCUGGUAUAACAAACUCAUAAAUCUCCUGAAGGCUGCAAUUACCUACAUCCUUCCUGUAGGAUAUCCUUUGUCCUGAUCACUAAGAACCUUGGAGAAUCUGAACACAACCAAAUUUGAUAUAGAAUUACAUCACAAAAUUUCUGGCAUCUCUCCCCACCUUGGUGAUCGGCGUGUUCUCACUUUUCACCACAAGAUGGCGCAGGAAGGCCUGGUGUCAGGCCCAGUCUGGUGUCCCGGGAGGCAGCUUUUGUCCAAGUAACUGUGUGCUCUCCAAUGCAGACUGUGGUUUUGAUGCAGAGAAGGCUGGAGGAAGAUACUGACUUUGCUCCUGGCUAGCCCUGAAGGUGGCAGAAUAUUCUUUGGGAAAGGAGUACAAAAUUCCAUCCGUGGUCUAUAUUUAACAGGAACUCCAAGAUCACACUGAACCUGGGCUGGUUGCAAGGCUGGCCUCACUGCAGUAACAAUGCUGGGUGAUUGGAGAAUUGCAAUUAUGGUGUUACUUAAAUUAUGACUUGUGCCUUGAAUUAUUUUCCUGUCACACCCCAGGCCUGCGAGAGUGGCUGGAAUGAAAAUGGGAGUCCUGGGGUGUCUGUUGGUGUGAGACUUGCAUGCAGGACUGCCAGAGUUGGGAAGGGGAGGGGAAAGCAACAUCAAAUGCCAAGGAAUCAAGAAUGCAGUCUUCCAGGCGGUCAUAAAGGUGUUUGUUUUAAUGUCACCAUCAAAAAGUAUUCUCUGAAUAGUCAGUAGAAAGUAGCUAACACCCCAUCCCUGACUUUCUCUCAUUUCCCUCAUUUGAACCCCCCUACACUUACAACAGGAGGCAGCAAACCUUUAAAAUAGUAAACCAAAGGCAAUAUCACAUCCUUGGAGAGAUUGCAGAAAUUAGUGCCACCAUGAAAGACUUGAAAGAUGCAAGAAUGGUGAUUCCCAAAACACCCUUAUUUAAGUCUCCUGUUUGGCCUUGGCAAAAAAACAGAUGGAUUCUGGAAGAUGACAGUGGAUUAUCAUGAAUCCAACUAAAGUGGUGACUCCGACUGCAGUAAUGGGGCAGAUGUUUUUGCAUGGCUUGAGCACAGAAACGCAUCCCCUGGUACUGGUUUGUAGCUAUUGAUCUGGACAAAUGCCAUUUUCUCUAUGUCUGUCAAUGAGACCAACCAGAAGCAGUUUGCUUUCAGAUGGCAAUACCUGCAAUGCACCUUCACUGUCUAAGAGGCAUAUCAAUCCUUCAGCCCAAUGUCAUAAUUUAGUCUGCAUGGAUUAUGAUUACCAUUUCCUUCUACAAUAUGUCACACUGGCGCAUUACAAUGAUAGCAUUAUGAUUAUGGAUCUAGUGGGCAAGACAUAGCAACUACUCCAGACUUACUGGUAAGACAUUUACUUGUAUGUGUCAGGAGGCGGGAAAUAAAUCAGACAAAAAUUCAAGGGACGGGUCAGCCGAGUGGCGCGUUGGUUAAGAGCUCACUUG